CGGAAGAGAAAGGCAACCGCUGUUUAUAUUUCUAACUUCUUAUGUUAGAAAACUCAUGAAUAGAGGAAAGUCUGGACUUCAUAAGAAAAGAUACUGGAGAAAGCCCAGGAGUCGUAAGGCUACGGAAAGUGCAACAGAAAACAUUCCGCUAUAAAGUUUUUCAAUUUUAUAGACAGGCUGAAAAUUCCUACUUAAGGAGUAGGAGCUAUUAAGGCGACUUAAUAGACAUGCAAACCCUAUCUGAAGCAAGAGAAAGAGUUUUUUGUUUCUGCAAAGUAAAAGGAUAUUUCCUUUUACAAACUUUUUCACAAUCGCUUGAGAGAUAUAGUAAUAUACCUCCUAGAUGAAUGGUUGCCCACAGGGGGAAUAAUUUCCUCCUGUAGACAGAAUCCGGCUUACCCUCUCUUCCGACAU
rfam:Chlamydia psittaci 10_743_SC13 genomic scaffold CP_10_743_SC13.contig.0, whole genome shotgun sequence.